CCUUAUUCUGUUCUCCACUUCUCCCUCGUCUCUCACCCCCUCUGCGCCUCACGCCCUCCGCCCUCGGCGACACUCCGGUCAGGCGGUCACUCCCACUGUUUGUUAAUGUUGUUCAAAGAGGGCCAGUACUUGAAACAUGGGAUUUGAGCUUGAUACCGAUUCAAUGUGAAAGUUUAAUCGUGCCUACAAUGGCUGUAACUGAAUUUAUGUUUUGAGAAUGAAAACAGAAGCUUGAUAAAAUGUUUUUAUUGGCUAGUAACCACAAGAAGUGUUUCCUUUUUUACUGUAUUUUGUCUGAAGAGGUUACUCCAGUUGCUUUUCAAGUGGCAAAGGAACUGAGGGCAUUCUGAUAUUUAUAUUUGAAAAUUUCAUUUCUUCACUUUAUGGUUUUGAGGAUCUUCAACUUUUAAAUAAAUUCUCAUGAAUUCUCUGGUUUUAAAGGUUCUCUAAGGCACUAAUUGAAGUUAGUGAAAGGAAAAUGUGUACCAGAUGUUACUUUCAGAAGACAAUGUGUAGUACUUUGUUAGGAAAUGGGAUUGUUAUUUUGUCAGGCACAUAAUCUCAAGAGGUGAAUGGGGAUGUAAUGCUGGGUUUUAAAACUUUGGCAUACGUUCUGCUUUGCUCAAAAUAUUUCAAAUUUAUGGUUGUUUACUAGUUCAAGUACUAUUUACCUAUCAUCAAACUGGUAGUCACUUCUUGUUGCCUAUCCGUUUUUGUUUUUUUUUUGUUUUUUUUUUUUUUUCAUUCUUAUGUAUGGUGCACUCAUUUAUUUCCUCUGUAAGUUUGUAUGUAUGCACAAAUGCUGAUCCUUUUUCUUUCUAAAGUUUUAUCUUUGCACAGAAACUGGUGACAACCUUCUUAAUGCUUCAGCAUGAUGCGUGGAUAUUAUUGUUUUUAAAAAUGUUGCAGGAAAGUGAAGGGGUUGGAGGGGGAGAAUAUUAUAUUAUAUUGUAAUCACCAAAAAGAAAAAAGAAAAAAAAAAGAAAA